GGGCGAUGGUUCAUUCAAAUUUCUGCCCUAUCAACUUUCGAUGGUAGAGUAGUGGUCUACCAUGGUUUCAACGGGUAACGGGAAAAUUAGGGUUCUAUUCCUGGAGAGGGAGCCUGAGAAACGGUACCACAUCCAAGGAAGGCAGCAGGCGCGCAAAUUACCCAAUCCCGACACGGGGAGGUAGUGACAAUAAAUACUGAUACAGGGCUCUUUUGGGUCUUGUAAUUGGAAUGAGUACAAUUUAAAUCCCUUAACGAGGAACAAUUGGAGGGCAAGUCUGGUGCCAGCAGCCGGGUAAUUCCAGCUCCAAUAGCGUAUAUUAAAGUUGUUGCAGUUAAAAAGCUCGUAGUUGAACCUUGGGCC
rnacentral:rRNA from 1 species